rnacentral:rRNA from 1 species
UAGAGUUUGAUCCUGGCUCAGAACGAACGCUGGCGGCGUGGAUAAGACAUGCAAGUCGAACGGGACAACAUCUGUAGCAAUACAGGUGUUGUUUAGUGGCGAACGGGUGCGUAACACGUGGGCAAUCUGCCGAGAAGUGGGGGAUAGCUCGCCGAAAGGCGAAUUAAUACCGCAUACGAUCAGCUAAGACAUCUUAGCGACAUCAAAGCCGGGGCAACCUGGCGCUUCUUGAUGAGCCCGCGGCCUAUCAGCUAGUUGGUGAGGUAACGGCUCACCAAGGCUAUGACGGGUAGCUGGUCUGAGAGGACGACCAGUCACACUGGAACUGAGACACGGUCCAGACACCUACGGGUGGCAGCAGUCGAGAAUUUUUCUCAAUGGGGGAAACCCUGAAGGAGCGACGCCGCGUGGAGGAUGAAGGCUUUCGGGUUGUAAACUCCUGUCAUUUGGGAACAAGUGCCAACAAGUAACUACUGUUGGCUUGAUAGUACCAGAAGAGGAAGAGACGGCUAACUCUGUGCCAGCAGCCGCGGUAAUACAGAGGUCUCAAGCGUUGUUCGGAUUCAUUGGGCGUAAAGGGUGCGUAGGUGGCGCCGUAAGUCAGGUGUGAAAUUUCGGAGCUUAACUCCGAAACUGCAUUUGAUACUGCGGUGCUUGAGGACUGGAGAGGAGACUGGAAUUCACGGUGUAGCAGUGAAAUGCGUAGAUAUCGUGAGGAAGACCAGUGGCGAAGGCGGGUCUCUGGACAGUUCCUGACACUGAGGCACGAAGGCCAGGGGAGCAAACGGGAUUAGAUACCCCGGUAGUCC